CACCUGAGAGGACCCAGCCUCCUCCUCCUCAGGACCCACUGGGGAGACGCCACUGUCUCUAUAGGAACACCUGGGGCCGUGGCCGGGGACAACCCAGCCUCCUUCUCCUCCGCUCCUCAGGAACGACUGGGGAAGCUGUGGCUUCAUGGCCCCCGAGGCUGCCUGACGAAAGAGUCUCACCCAGGCUGGAGUGCAGUGGUACGAUCUUGGCUCAUGGCAACCUCCGCCUCCCAGGUUCCAGCGAUUUUCCUGCCUCAGCCUCCUGAGUAGCUGGUAUUACAGACGCCUGCCAUCACGCCCGUCUAAUUUUUGUAUUUUUAGUAGAGAUGAGGUUUCACCAUGUUGGCCAGGCUGGUCUUGAACUCCUGAUCUCAGGUAUUUCAGGACAGCCAGGAGGGGGCGCGCAUCCGCCGAGAAACUGUGAGCAAGAGCGUCUGUGCUGAACCAUGGCGCCACCAGAGGGCGCGCGAUCCCGCCCCAACCAACUUCCCGCUGAGGUGCCAGAAGCAGCGAGGAGCUUCACCUUCCUCAGGGCAGCACGAGGGUCGUGUUAACUUGGUGUUCUUCAUUGAUUCCCCAACAGUUAUCGCUGUACCAGAUUUGCAGUGUCCCACAAAAUACUCCAGUAUGUUGUACGGAAUGCAUGGAUACUAUCCCAGGUAACUACCACAUAACCCCUAGAUCAGGAAAUCAGCAUUGUUCCUACAUGAUAAUUCAGUCCACAAACUCACUUCACUUUUACCUCCUGACACACUUGGGAGUAUAAUGUGUUUUUUUUUUUUUUUUCAUUCUGAUCCAGUUUUCUUUUCCUGGAACUGUUCCCCAGACUUUCCUGCAUAUUUAUGACCUUGACACAUUUAAAGAGUAUAUAGGUUUUUGUUUGAACACCUGUUUUCAGGUCUUUGGGGUAUAUACCGAGGAAUGGAAUCAUUGAGUCAUAUGGUAAAUCUAUUUGUAACUUUAUGAAGACACACCGAAUUAUUUUACACAUAGGCUGCACCAUUUCGUAUUGUCACAAG